rnacentral:rRNA from 1 species
CAGUCGCCGCGGGAAUACGAAGGGGGCUAGCGUUGUUCGGAAUUACUGGGCGUAAAGGGCGCGUAGGCGGCGAUCAAAGUCAGGCGUGAAAUUCCUGGGCUCAACCUGGGGGCUGCGUUUGAUACUUGAUUGCUAGAGUGGGGAAGAGGGUCGUGGAAUUCCCAGUGUAAAGGUGAAAUUCGUAGAUAUGUGGAGGAACACCAGUGGCGAAGGCGACUCUCUGGUCUGUAACUGACGCUGAGGAGCGAAAGCGUGGGGAGCGAACAGGAUUAGAUACCCGUGUAGUCCCUGUCUCUUAUAC